GACGAACGCUGGCGGCGUGCAUAACACAUGCAAGUCAAGGGGGUCAGUAGCAAUACUGGCAACCGGCGAACGGGUGCGUAACACGUAAGCGACCUACCUCGAUGUGGGGCAUAGCCGGCCUAACGGCCGGGUAAUUCCGCAUAAGAUCCCGAUGAGGCAUCUCAUUGGGAUGAAACCAGGUAAUGGGCGUCGAGAGGGGCUUGCGGCCUAUCAGCUAGUUGGUGAGGAACGGCUCACCAAGGCUACGACGGGUAGCU
rnacentral:rRNA from 1 species